rnacentral:rRNA from 1 species
GAUGAACGCUGGCGGCGUGCCUAAUACAUGCAAGUCGAGCGAACGGACGAGAAGCUUGCUUCUCUGAUGUUAGCGGCGGACGGGUGAGUAACACGUGGAUAACCUACCUAUAAGACUGGGAUAACUUCGGGAAACCGGAGCUAAUACCGGAUGAUAUUUUGAACCUCAUGGUUCAAAAGUGAAAUACGGUCUUGCUGUCACUUAUAGAUGUAUCCUCGCUGCAUUAGCUAGUUGGUAAGGUAACGGCUUACCAAGGCAACGAUGCAUAGCCGACCUGAGAGGGUGAUCGGCAACACUGGAACGGAGACACGGUCCAGACUACGACGGGAGGCAGCAGUAGGGAAUAUUCCGCAAUGGGCGAAAGCCUGACGGAGCAACGCCGCGUGAGUGAUGAAGGUCUUCGGAUCGUAAAACUCUGUUAUUAGGGAAGAACAUAUGUGUAAGUAACUGUGCACAUCUUGACGGUACCUAAUCAGAAAGCCACGGCUAACUACGUG